UUUCUGGGAAGCUGUGCACCUGAGAACCGUAUUCAAUAACUACUUUAUAUAGUGAUUCUGUUGACCUAAGGGAUACAUCAGCGAGAUUUUUUUGAAAUCCUACUGUAUUGUAUUAAAACAGAGGGACACAACGAUUGGAAUAAUCCUAGAUUGCAAUACAUUUGACCAUUGGCCUGUCCAUUUAAUAAAAGUCUUGUCCAACGAAAUUUCCUUUGGACUAAAACAAAAAAUAAGUCAUUAAACAUAGGUAAGGUUCUCUUCUGAGUACAACGUACAUUAUCUGAAUGGAAGCGAAUAUUCUGAUUUAUAAAAUAAUAUCCUUAUCUUGCCUCUAGUUCGUGUUCUGAGGUUGGAGCGAAAUAGAAAAUACUUGGCAUUUUGAAUAUGCUUCUGUGACAAUAUCCAUUUAACUAUGAAUAAUUUCUCCGUCUAUAUACUCUUUACUCUUUUACUCUUUUACUUGUUUCAGUCAUUUGACUGCGGCCAUGCUGGAGCACCGCCUUUAGUCGAGCAAAUCGACCCCGGGACUUAUUCUUUAUAAGCCCAGUACUUAUUCUAUCGGUCUGUUUUCCCAAACUGCUAAGUUACGAGGACAUAAGCACACCACCAUCGGUUGUCAAGCGAUGUUGGGGGACAAACACAGACACACAAACAUACAUACAUAUAAACAUAUAUACGACGGGUUUCUUUUAGAUUCACAAAUUCGUGGUAACUUCGAAUAAAGAAAUAUAUACAUAUAUACUUCGAAUAAAGAAAUAUAUACAUAUAUACGACAGGCUUCUUUCAGUUUCCGUCUACCAUAUCCACUGACAAGGCAUUGGUCGGCCCGAGGCUAUAGCAGAAGACACUUGCCCGGAACCAUGUGGUUGGUUAGCAAGCUACGUACCAGACAGCCACUCCUGCGCCUAAGUACCACUUCCUAUAAAGGUUUGCCGAACGACUGCAAAAUUCAACUUUGUCGGUGAAUGUGACAACGAAUAGGCCUCUGUAUAGUAGUCAAACCAAUAAGAAACAUCAGUUGAAAUUCUCUCGAACCCUGCUCUGAAUGUUAAAAUAAGGACGUAUCUGGAAAAAAAAAAAAUCGAUAGUGUGCUCACAGCUGGAACAUCAGUCUUUGCCAUAAGUCUUCUUGAUUAAGGAGCUAAGCACCAACAACAUACAAGGCUUUCAUUUACAUAUAUUACUAUUUACAUUUACGGUGUAAAGCAGUCAGAACUAUUUAAUUUUCUGGCUAGAGUUCCAGUUUAUAUUAUUGAAUAACACUUAUAAGAAACGUGUCUGCGCGUUUGUUAAUGGUUGUUGAUCAGCAGAUAACAGCACUUAGAUAUUUUAUAGUAUAUGAAUAGAUAUGUAUCUGUAUAUCUUUGUAUGUAUUUGGUUAUGUAUAUGUGUGAAUCUAUAUGUAAUGUUCUGCUAUCCACUUCGAUCAUUAAGUAAUAAAAUUGAUUCAAUCCCAAGACGAUCACAUUAACUCUUCGAAAUCUGAUUUGUUUUAUAGUCAACGAGCAGGCUUUUCUGUGGCAACAUGGUCCUUCUACAGCAUAUUUCCUUCGAUAAAUGUGUGUUUGUAUUUCUAUGCGUAUGUACACACACACACACACAUAUAUAUAUAUAUAUAUAUACAUAUCACAGGUGAUAUGUUACUAAAUUCUGUUUUUAAAUGACUUGCUUUGAAGUUUUGCAUUCGGUACAAUUUCUUUAUUUUAGUAGUUUUGACUGCAAGAGUCCCUCCUAGCGUGCGGUACCUAUGAAUAAUAGUACCCUCUAUAUAAUAUAUACAUACAUAUAUAUAUAUAUAUAUAUAUAUAUAUAUAUAUAUAUAUAUAUAUAUAUAUAUAUAUAUAUAUAUAUAUAUAUAUGCGUCUAUAUACAUAAACUUAUAUAUAUAUAUAUAUAUAUAUAUAUAUAUAUAUGCGCUAUAAUACGAGAUAUAUAUAUAUAUAUAUAUAUAUAUAUAUGCGUCUAUAUACAUAAACUUAUAUGUAUACACUGUAGAUAUAUAUGUGUGUUCGUGCGUGUGUGUGUCUGCGCGCACAUGUGUCUGUGGUGCGUGUGUGUGCGCGCGUGAAUGUGUGUGAUAUGUGCUAAUUUACUAGAUGAAGUACUAGGGUUCAUUUUCGUCAGUUCGAACAUGGCAUUAAUCACAAACUUUCUUUAGAGAUUAUGUAAUUAACAAGAACAUAAGAUAUAACAUACGUCUAGACAGGAUAAACUCAUGGAUAGGUCAAACUAAAUUAUAUUGUAAAAGAAAACAAAGGUACUGGAUAUGAUACGCAUAACCUUAUUGUACGGAACAGUUUCGUCAAAUUUACGACUCAUUAGUGGAGUAUUGAUUUAUGCAACUAUGAAACUAAGUGGACAAUCUAACUCGGUAUGACCAAUACCAGUCCACGUAAUGGUUUCAUAUAUAUGUACAUGUGUAUCCUUACGUAUACAUGUCUAUAUAUUUGUAUAUACUUAUUUGUGUGUGUAUGUAUGUGAGUGUUUUCUGUGUGGGCGACGUAGGCCGAGUCAGUCUCUUGUCAUUCUAGAUUUUCGUCUGUAAUUUUAUAUAGUCGUCAGGCAAAUCUGUAUAUAAGGAGAAAAACGAAUCCUCAAAAAAUCUGUUCUUAUUCGCGGAGGAGUAUAUAUGCGCAAUCACUCAGCCUGUAAGACAGAUCGGUUAAAUUUUACAAUAAUGGGCAUAGGAGCAAGCGUGUCUGCGUGGUAAGAAUCUUGCUUCUGAACCACAUGGCUUCGAAUUCAGUCCACCGCGUGGCACCUUGGUCAAAUGUGUUCUACUAUAAUCUCGGGACGCCCAAAGUGAGUGGAUUUGGUAGGCAGAAACUGAAAGAAGCCCGUCGUGGGUGUUUGUGUAUAUAUAUGUAUGUGUGUGUAUAUAUAUAUAUAUAUAUAUAUAUAUAUAUUUAUAUAUAUAUACAUACAUAUAUAUAUAUGUUUAUAUAUAUACAUACAUACAUAUAUAUAUAUAUAUACAUAUAUACAAGCAGUAAUGUGGGCCAAACACUGACACAAAUACACACACACACACAUAUGUAUAUAUAUAUAUAUAUAUAUAUAUAUAUAUAUAUAUACAUAUGUGUGUGUGUGUGUAUUUGUGUCAGUGUUUGGCCCACUUUACUGCUUGACAACCGGUGAAGUAUUUUACACGUCCCCGUAAUAAGCAGUUCGGUAAAGAGAUCGAUAGAAUAUUACCAGAUUUAAAGAAAACGAACAAGUGCUGUGGUCGAUUCAUUUGUCUAAAAAAAUACAAUAAUUUUUCUAGGCAGUGCCCCAGCAUUGCCGCAGUCUAAUGACUGAAACAAGUGACGGAUAACAGAUCAAAUUCCGCCGAGGUCGACCUUGCCUUUUAUUGUUUCGGGGUCGAUAAAUUAAAUAUCAGUUGCGUACUAGGGGUGAAUCUAAUCGGGCCUUGUGCUUACAGUAGAAAAGACUAUAAAAUACGAAACUAUAAUCACACUAGGCCAAAGGUAAUCAAACAGCUUUUUAAACAUUAUCGUAAUGUAAUGAAAUUAUUAAUAAAAAAAUUAUACGACGUAAAAGGCUUUGUGUGCAAUGUGCAUCCGUGCAUGAAGUGUAUGUACAGAGAAAUCGAAACAGUUUAUUUUUAUCUGUCUGAAUGGAUGCGAGAGUACAUAAUUGGAGAUGAUUGCGGAUUACUCCGCCUAUACAAAAUAAUAAAAUUAAAUACUAAUAAAUAAAAUAAUUAACAAAUCAAAUUAUAAUUACAUUUUUCUCAUUUGUACAUCUGCAAUAAAUAUGAAAUCAAUGAGAAUAUGUUUAAUCAUAAUUUAAUUACAAAUGUAGAAUAUUAAUUAAUUUCGGAUAAGGAAGCUUCACUAAUUAACCAAUUGGUAUUGGUUAGUAAAAUAAUGUAUGUAUGCAUGUAUGUAUGUAGGUAUGUGUGGAUGCAUAUAUGUAUGUGUGUGUAUAUAUAUAUAUGUGUGUGUUUAUGUGUGUGUAUACAUACAUGCGUAAGUACAUAUAUUUACGCACACACCACACAAAUAUAUAUAGAGAGAGAUAGAUGGAUAGAUAGAUAGAUAGAUAGAUAGAUAGAUAGAUAUACAUAUAUAGAUAUAUAUAUAUGUGUGUGUGUAUAUAUAUAUAAAUAGUGGGGAAAAUCCUUUGAUACAUUUCUUUGUUAUUCGGUGUUUUGGACACUAUUCAGUUAUUUAGGGUUUUGAGAACAAGUAUAACCUGGAACUAAUCCUUCAUUUAUUUUUUCUAGAUGUCGUCUAUUUACCUUGGGGAAAAGACGACAAUCAGGGGGAAACUCCGGAUUAUUUAUUACCUUCUUGUUGUUUAGUAAAUCUCAAAACAUAGUCAAUACAUUAUAUUUUGGGAUGCACUAAACUCUAAAAAAACAUACACAACUGUUACUAUUUACACCUUCUUUGUUGUAACAAUAUUUCUGGUGUUUUACUUUUUGUUGUGUUUUAUAUUUUUAAUAAAAAUCAAGAUAUGAAAUAAAUAAUAAACUAAGAUGUAUGAAAUGAUCAUCAAAUGUAACAUUUAAAGAAAUUAAUCCUAGAUGAAUUUCUUCAAAUGAUUGGAGCUAUUUAAUGAAUAUUUAUGAAUACAACGUAGCUGUUUGUGGAUCUUUCUGGAGAUCUUAUAAUAGUCUGGUUUUCAAAUAUUUAAUACUGCCAUAUACAUAGAUUGCACCUAGGAUGCAGUCACACAACAGAACAUAUUGUUAUAACUAAUGCAUUUAUUUAUACCAAAUUUCUUUACAACAAAUUUAGUACUUGCAUAUUAAUUCCUGAAAAUAGUAAUUAUUCUAAUUGCAUAAAUAUAAAUAAAAGUUUUCAGAUAUUUUCAUGGGUGGCAUUUAGUAAUUUCAAAGGUGCACAGGUAACUAAGAUCCUUGAUAGAAAGAUCGGCGGAUUUCACUGCACAUGUUGUAGUGCUCCAACCACUUCAUGAAGGCCUCAUGGAAGUGUUCUAAGGUGAAAGUGUCCAGGGACUUUGUCACAGCCACCUUCAUUUUGAAAUCUAUUGCCUAUCAGGCUGCCCUUCAGCUCGUGAAAGAACCAGAAAUCGAAGGGAGUAAGUUCUGUGCAGUAAGGAGAGUGAAGGACCGUUCUGAUGAUCAUCUCUUUUAAAUUAGGUCCAGGUUAGAAACCGACUCUUUCUCUAAUGGCAAGAAAUCCUGAUAUAAAAUUGAAUAAUGUCAUACAGUGGAGGCGCAAUGGCCCAGUGGUUAGGGCAGCGGACUCGCGGUCAUAGGAUCGCGGUUUCGAUUCCCAGACCGGGCGUUGUGAGUGUUUAUUGAGCGAAAACACCUAAAAGCUCCACGAAGCUCCGGCAGGGGAUGGUGGUGAUCCCUGCUGUACUCUUUCACCACAACUUUCUCUCACUCUUACUUCCUGUUUCUGUUGUACCUGUAUUUCAAAAGGGCCGGCCUUGUCACUCUCUGUGUCACGCUGAAUAUCCCCGAGAACUACGUUAAGGGUACACGUGUCUGUGGAGUGCUCAGCCACUUACACGUUAAUUUCACGAGCAGACCGUUCCGUUGAUUCGGAUCAACCGGAACCCUCGUCGUCGUAACCGACGGAGUGCUUCCAUCCUGUCAUACACACAUGCAUACUUACAAACAUACAUAUGGAUACGUGAACGCCUGUGAAUUUUCUAUUUUCGACUUCUACAUCGCUGUUCACUUUUGGUUAAUCAUUUCUCUAUUAACGAAGCAAUCAUCCUAGCACUUGAUACAGAUAUGCACCAGAUAAUCACUCUUAUGUAAUUAUGUCCAGUUUAUUGGAUUAGGAAUUGACGGCAUAUGUAGAUGCAUAUGAUCAUUUAUAUCUAAGUGUUUCAGCUGUAUAUGUGGAAUACUAUGCGUGGGAGCAUUCCCGUGUGCGAAGGACCUUGAGCGUGUGUUUGUGUGUGCGUGUGUUAUAUGUGUAAGUCAUAUGUCUGUGUGUGCACACUUGUGUAUCUGUGUGUUCGUUUUCGAAGAUAUGUUUUUAUCUACUCAUUUAUAUUAUGUCCGUAUGUGUAUAUGUGUGUGUAUGCGAGUGUAUGUGACUGUUUUUGUGCUGAAAUAUAAUACUUGUAUAUUAUAUAUAUAUAUAUAUAUAUAUAUAUAUAUAUAUAUAUAUAUAUAUAUAUAUAAUAUACACACACAUAUAUGUAUAUAUACACGCACACACACACACAUAUAUAUAUAUGUAUACACAUAUGUGUGCGUGUGUGUAUAAUACACAUAGGGAGUAAUAUUCGAGCACAAACGCAUUCAUAUACACUUACAUUCAAACACACAUAUAUACAUGUACAUAGAUAUGUUUGUAUAUUUUUGUUUAUGUGUUUGUGUGUACACAUAUAUGUGUAUAUAUAUAUAUAUAUAUAUAUAUAUAUAUAUAUAUAUAUAUAUAUAUAUGUAUGUAUAGAUAGAUAGAUAGAUAGAUAGAUAGAUAGAUAGAUAGAUAGAUAGAUAGAUAGAUAGAUAGACAGACAGAUAGAUAGAUAGAUAGAUAGAUAGAUAGAUAGAUAGAUAGAUAGAUAGAUAGAUAGAUAGAUAGAUAGAUAGAUAGAUAGAUAGAUAGAUAGAUAGAUAGAUAGAUAGAUAGAUAGAUAGAUAGAUAGAUAGAUAGAUAGAUAGAUAGAUAGAUAGAUAGAUAGAUAGAUAGAUAGAUAGAUAGAUAGAUAGAUAGAUAGAUAGACAUAUAGAUAGAUAGAUAUGUUUCUUUAUUAGCCACACAGGGCUGCACACAGAUAGAACAAAUUACAAGGUAGAGCUUUUCUUUUGAAGGUUUAAAAAAAAAAAAAAAAAGGAAGGGGGAGUUUCGAUCAAAAGGGAUCGUAAAAGGAGAGAAAGAGGACAAAAAAAGGGGCGGUUAAGAAAAAAGGGGGGAGAGAAAAAAAAUUGAUCAAUAGGGAUCGUUAUCACAGAAAUGUCAAUAUGAAGUGUAAAGGGGAGGACAGGUGAGGUUUACCCGUGGAAAGAAAAGCCUACGGAAAAGACCACGGUAACCUCGGUCAAUGAAGUCACAUUUUAUAUUUCUUUUUUUUUUUUUUUUUUUUUGCAAAUAAGCAACUCUCUGUUUUCGAUUUCUGGGUUCAUAGGACUAUGCUCAAGGUGGCUUCGUCAUUCAUACGUGCCAUUCUUGCUACAUUCACCCAUCUUUUUAAAACAUUCGCUAGACAAAACUUGCCUCUCUACUCUCACUUUCCUUUUCAAGUGGUACUUGAAGAAGUUGAUGAGAGAUUGACCAGAGAGGAAAGUGUUUGUCUCCAAUCCUUUCAGACGCGUCCACCAGAUACAUUCCUUCGCCAUAGCCACAAGGAUGAUGAAAAUAGCUCUUCCUUCCCGUUUGAAGGAAGGAGGCGUGACAAUAUUGACGAUAGACUCAGCUGAUAAACCGACUCGUCCCACACGUGACAGCAGUUGUUCGACAUAAGCCCACAGGUCGGAAAUUGUUGGACACUGAACGAGUGCGUGCAGAACGGUUUCGUCGCUCUGACCGCAUCUCGGGCAGGUCGGCCCCGUGUUUCUCGAGCCGUGUCUGUAGAGCUUAUCCCGAACGGGUAGCGCUUCUCGGUAGCACUGCCAGGCCAGGGAUCUCUGGAAGUUGUCCAUGGGCCCUGGCCCGAAAGUCGUCCUGAACAGGCGGGUCAGGUACUCCUCGUCGACGUCCAGGUUCGCCCCGAGCUCGUCGUCGUACCUCCCCUCCACUAAACCCCUAUAGAAUGCUUUGGUUGUGUUGAAGUCACUUAAGGUCGACCCAGGACGGCAGAGUUGCUUGAGAGCAACGCGACACUCGCGGUGCCAUUCGCCCUUCCUCGGCCUCUUUUUGAUCCACGACUGCAGUUCGGUCAUGGAGACGAGCUGCGGGAAAGCGUGCCUCACAAACGGCGACCACACCUGUUCACCGUCGUCUACAUAGAGCCAGAGAUGCCGCAGUCUCAGCGCGUGUCUGCGCAUCAUCAACCACGGCAUGCCCAGCCCUCCUUUUAACGGGUGUUGACAGCAAAUGGAUCGCCUGACCAUCGGGACGCAUCCUUUCCACAAGAAGCGAAAGAGGAUGCGUUGUAGUUUGGUGAUGGUAGGGUCGGGACAAGGUACGACGGUCAGGCGGUAGUAGAUGACGGACGCGAUGUACGUGUUCGCCACCUCCGCCCGACCUUUUAGGGACAGUUUCCUCUCGGCCCAUUGCCGGGCGAGAGUGACCACCCUACUCGUUAUCUCGUUCCAGUUCUUCUCCACUUGGAGGUCCGGACCAAACCAGACCCCGAGCAACUCAACCGGGCCGUCGGUCCAGCGUCCCACGACGGAGGCGCUGGUGGACGGCAUGGGCUUGCUUCUCCAGGUGCCUAGUCGCAAGCCCACUGACUUUUCCCGGUUGAUUUUCGCUCCUGUCACCGCUUCGUAGUUUUUCAGUGUCUCGCCGACCAGCUCGAUGUGCUCGUGGCUAGACACUAUGACGGUGACGUCGUCCGCGUAUGCAGACACGCUCUUCCCGCAUCCCAAUUCUCGCGGGAUGCCCCUUAGAGUCGCCAGCUUCCGCAGUAGUGGCUCAAGAGUCAAUACGUAUAGAAGCGCCGAGAGGGGCAUCCCUGACGGACCGAACGUGCAAUGUUGAAAGGUCUCGAUAGAUGUCCAUUUACGCGAAUUACCGAACGGAUGCCUCUGUACAAGGCAGCUAUCCAUCCGCGGAAAACGGGACCGAAACCAGCCGCUCUCAGGACUGCCCCCAAGUAUCGAUGGUCUACCCUAUCAAAGGCUUUCGAUUGAUCCAAGUUGAUCAGGGCCCCACCCAUGCCAGGUUCGUUAACUACCCUGUCUAUGAUGUAGCGCAUCAGAUGGAGGUUGUCAUGGAUGGUCCGGCCUGGCACGGCGCAUGUUUGCGCCUUGUCGACCAGUUUCUCGAUGACAAGCGCCAACCUCUUGGCUAGCACCUUGGCCAAAAUUUUCAAGUCUGCAUUAAGCAGAGUGAUGGGCCUAAAGUUAUCUAUUACAUUUCCCUUGUUUAGAUCUUUCUUCAGCAGUGUUACGGCUCCUCGGCUCACAAAACCAGGAAUGCUCCCGUUUUGCUGCCAGUUGCAGUACACCGCCGCCAAGAGAUCUCCAAACAAGUCUGGCAUACAAUUGUAAAGCUCGUAGGGUAGACCAUCCAAACCCGGUGAUUUGUCCCUCGAGCAUUCUGCCAUCGCUUCCCGCACUUCCGCCGCCGUGAUAGCACCUUCGCAGCACCCUGCCUUUCUUGUCGAGAGUCGUGGUAGGCUAUGUAGGUAGGCACUGAAGUCCACCCUACGUUCUUGCCCUCCACUCGUUCCGAACAGUCGGGCAAAAUGCUGCUGAAAGGCUUCACACAUUUUACUUGGCUCGAGCAAUUCGCGCCCCUGUUCAUCUACCAGUGACCGAAUGGUGGCUUUGUUGCCCUGUUGCGCCUCUGCCACCCGGGCCUCUCUCGCGGCUCCAACACCUUCGUUCCUUAGAGCACGCAUCCUAGCUCUGACAGCACAUCCUUCGUGUUUGGCGUUGAAGUGUUGGUCGAGGGCCAACCUCGCCGCCAAAACGUCGGAUGCGAUGCCGCUUCUAAUUGCCUCUUCUAGCUUCUUAACUAGCUCACCCUCUACUCUAUUUCUAUCUAUGGCUAGUGCUUUGCUGUACCUAAUCGCUUCUGCUUUUACUGCUCUCUUGAGGGCAAACCACCAUUUGUUGUUGAUGAUGGCUCCCGUCAAAGCCCUCUUUACUAGUGUGCUAAUCCGGUCUCUGAAAACUUGUCUCGAUGGGAAAGACGCGUUUAGUUUCCAGUAUCCGGGACCCUGCCUAAGUGUCUUACCUAAGUCUAGCGUACAUGUCACAAGUUUGUGAUCCGUGUAGCUGACUAUGUGGAAUUGUGGACAUCCUAUGCUAUCUCUAUCUACUGUCCUACACAGUAUCCUAUCUAGAUACGAUCUCGAUGACCCGAUGCGGUUGCUCCAUGUCCACGUUGGCGCAUUCGGGUGGUCUAGUCGGAACCUGUCAGACAGUUGAAAGCGUCUGAGCAGGUCUCUGAGGCAUUUGCAUCCCCGUCUAUUCCUAUCUCUACCUACGUAGUCUACAUGCGUGUCCAAGGUAGCAUUCCAAUCCCCCACUAAGAGUAAAGGACGAGACGUUCCCAAGAAAACUUCUAGACGUUGAAAGAAAUCCGCCCGACCUGUUAAGGGCGGUGCGUAAACUGAUACGAGUCGAAAAGCGCACCCAUUGCUGCCGUCGACAUCCAGGACGACCAGUCUACCCUCCGGGUCUACGAAUAUUGUCCUUACUUUGAGAUCCAGACUCUUGUGAAAAAGUACCGCGGUGCCACUACCGCCCAUUCUCGGCAGACAGGGGGAAAAAUAAAUGUUGAACUGUCCGCCAAACAUGGUCUUUAGGGCCCGCGGAUUGUGGAGUCUGGUCUCGCUUAUGGCUACGAUUUCUAACUUAUGUGACUUUAUGUCAUUUAAGAGGUACCCUUGUUUCCAAGGGGACCCCAAGCCACGCGCAUUUACACAACCAAUCUUGAUCAUAGUUCUAAUGAAUUAGAAUACAGAGGGUUACUUACUGCUUUCUCCUCCGUUUUUGCUUUCUCCUCCGUUGGUUUGUCCUCGAGUAGAUCCCAGUACAGUUUCUUUGUGAGAUAUUUUUGGCAUUUACCAACCGCACUGGGGAAAAUGCCUUUGAGUGUGUGGUGCAGACUUUUGGAGAUGUGUAAUAUUUUGAUGUGGUCUGGUGGUGUUGUGUAUGGGUGAUUGUUUGUUUUUAUGUCAUCUUCUGUUAUGUUUGUUUUUGAUUGGAUGUAUUCCAUUAAAUUUGUGUUUUUGGUGUCUAUGGCUGUGAGCAUGUUUGCUGUAUAUGUUUUUGUGGUGUUGGUGUGGCUGUUGUUUGCGUUGGGUUUUGAAAUGUCUUCGGGAGAUGUAUUUCCCCCUGCUUUGUUCGUGUUUGCAUUUGGUUUGGUUGUGUUUCUGCUCUUUAUUUUCCUUCUUUUUGUAGCUAUUUGCCAUUCCUCACUGGUUUCGUCUUCCGACGAAAUUUCUGAGGAAUCAGAAGGGGGUAGGGGUAUUUUGUGGGCUUCUAUGUAUGUCUGUGUAAGUGGUUGUGUUGUUGUUUUCGUUGUUGUUGGUUGUUGAGUGUUUGUGUGUGUUGAGUGCGGUAUAAGGGAUGGGGGAUCAGUUUGUGUGUGUUUUCUUUGUUUUUCUGUUCCUUUGGGUUUUGCUGUUGUUGGUGGUGUUGGUAUUUUUCCAGGUGUUGAGUGGUUUUGGUUGAUGACGGAUUAGCUUGGUGUGCUUCUCUUGUCGUCUUCUGUGUUGAUGGUGGUGUGGGUAGUAGAGCUUUUUUUUCCGGAGUGCUUUGGUUGUGGUAGUGGUUGUUGUUGUUGCUCUUGGUGUGCAGUGGUUGGGCACGUCUUUUUCAAGUGUGUUUCGCUUCCACACAAAUAGCAGCGUGGUCGCCUGCCCUCAACCACUAUAUAGAGUUUGUAGCCUCCUGGCAGUUCUAUAGAGGUGGGUAUCUUCUCUCUUGCUGCUUCAUCCAAUUGAAGCAGGAAUUCGAUUGAUUUGCCCACAUAGUCUUUCUCUCCUAGAACCGCGAUUUCCAGGAUGUUUGUCUCUGACAUUGUCUCUGACAUUUCAAAGCAGAUGGCAGAGACCAACCAUUGUGUUUCGACAUCAAAUGGUAUGUUUUUUAUUUGGACUUUCGUGACCCUUUUGUUUAAAUAGACUGGUAUCAUUACCAAGUCGUCCGAAUGUAGCUCCAAUGUGGAAAAACGUUUUGCUAAACUUUCGUUGAGGAAACGUACUUGGACUGUACCAAAUUUGUUUCCCCAACUGAUAUAUUCCUUGGAGUCCCAUGCAGGACGAAGGCAUUUUUCGAUUUUUUCCUGCGGUGCAUUUUCUGUUCUUCUUGUUUUUUUGUUUAUUACUUUAUAAAUUAUUGUUUUUUUUUUGGUGUUUUCCACGAUGUGUUGUGGAAUGUGAAGGUGCAAUUUGUCUCCUUCUUUGGAGAAGAGUGCCUUUGUGCGGUUUAUCUCUUGUGUGGUGAAUGUUACAAUUGUUCUUUUUUGUUUUGUUACGUCCGCAAAAUUCGUUUUGAAUUUGGCAGUAGAAGUGUUAAUUGUGGCAGUGUUAAUUGAAGUCAUGGUAGUGGUGUUGGUGUUGGCGGUAUUAGCAGUAGAAGGCUUGGAUGUAGCAUUUGACGUCGUAGUAGUGGUGUUGGUGUUGGCGGUGUUGUCUUUGGUAGGCGGCUUUGUGCCAAUUUCGUUGUUGUUGUUGUUGGUGGUGAUGGUGGUGGUGCUGGCAUUCAUGUUUUCGUUUGUAUUCAUUUUUGAAAUCCCUUUCUCUGUCCCUUUAUCAUCAACAAGUGGUGUGGGGAGUGAGGGGAAAUCUAAGUUAAUGUCUUUGGUCGCGGCGAUGGUGAAUGCGGCGUUAGAUUUGUUGUUGUUUUUGUUGGUGGUGGUGAUGGUGGUGACAGCGGUGUUCACGCUGCGAUGUUUAGUAGUUAGUGGUAGCAAUAGUGUUUUGCUACCGUUCUGCAUGACUGGCGGGCUAGCCACGUGGUUUCUAGUUGCCAUUUUCAAAAUGAAAAAUGGCUAAAAAACCCACGAAAGUUUUGAAAGUUUUUUUGUAAUUUCGCCCAUACAGGGGCGGAAUUCUACGUGAAUAAUUCUCAGGUUUUUUAGUGAAUGAACUUGCACAACGAUUAAAACAAAAUAUUUGACAACAAGGAGUUUUAAACAUGUAAAAGUGGCCAACUUACGUGGAGCCGAUAUGACUAUCGUCCGUCCAUUGUGAGAGAGAUAGAUAGAUAGAUAGAUAGAUAGAUAGAUAGAUAGAUAGAUAGAUAGAUAGAUAGAUAGAUAGAUAGAUAGAUAGAUAUAAUGCAGAUAAGUAACAAGGAUGUCCAGGUAUCGAUGAUUUUACUGCCGUUUUAAGCGGCUCCACUUAAUCGAUCAAUGAAAACAUUACAUCAAUUUGAAAGAAGUCUCUCUUCUCAGGAGUGGAUGACCAUAUAGAUUUCCAACAGUAAGGAGAAACUAUUUUUAGCAAAUUUAUAUUAGAACUAUAAACCAAAAUCACUACAUUUUGGACAGAAUGAAUUGAGAGUAUAAUGCAUACCUUAUUAAGCCUACUAUGACUUAGAGAACAGUAAAGGAAAAUAGUGAGUGUCGAGAUAUAGGAGUGGUGGCGUAGUAUGUAUAUAUUUAUUUUCAUUUUUAUUUAUAAGACUUUUAUGCAGCACGUAGUCUACAUCCAUUUAGAAUUAAAUUCACUGGGAGUUGUCAGCUAUGUUCUAAUCCAGCGUGAUAAAUUAAUUGCUGUCAGACAACCUCCCAAACCCUUAUUUUAUUGGGACCAUAUAUCUAGCUUUAUCUACAUAAAAGGAUAUAUCUCAGAGCUGCAUUUGUGUAGGUGUGUGUGUGUGUAUGUGUGUGUGUGAGUAACAAGAAGCGAAAUUUGUAAAAUCGUCUCCACGAAUUAAACCUCGUGUUUACUUUAAACUGUAAGGGUAAAGACCCCCUUCGGUCAUGAAUGACCAUGGAAUUGCACCUAGAAAGUUACCUUCCUAGACACAAGUCCGGGCAAGGUUGUUUAUGGAAAACCAGCAGUCACCCAUGCAUACCGGCCUCCCUCUCCACGCCACCAGUGUUAUCCAAGGGAAAGACAAAGGUCGAUACAGCUUGGCACCAGUGACGUCGCAACUCAUUUCUACAGCUGAGUGAACUGGAGCAACGUGAAAUAAAGUGCCUUGCUCAAGAACACAACACGCAGCCCGGUCCGGGAUUCGAGCUCACAAUCUCACGAUCGUAAGCUCGACGCUCUAACCACUGAGCCAUGCGCUUUCUGUACUUUAAACUGUACAACCGUACUUAUCAGAAAACCUAUAAUGAUAUAAAUGAUUCCUAAUACCAGUGUCUUAUCAGCGGGAAACCGUGAUAAUGUGAUAAUAUUGAAGUAUGAUAUAUAUAUAUAUAUAUAUAGAAUCCACCGACAGUGUUAUAGAUGAGAUUGUUUGGUUAUGAUUUCCUUACUUAAUGAUAUAAAUGAUAAUUACUCUUGUCUUAAUCUAAGAUGUAUAUACCCAAGAGGUGUAUACUUCUUAGAUUAAGAAACUAAUAAAAUAAUGUCAGUAUAUAAAGGUAGAUAGAUAGACAAAUCGAUAGUUAUAUAGAUAGAGAGACAGGCAGACACACAGGGAAACAUGUUAACAUAAAGCUGAAGAUCAGUGAAAAACAGAAAACCUAUGCUGAACAUUAUUGAGAAAUCUGUAGUUACUCUAUCCAGAUUACAAGUUCAGGUUUGUAAUUGUAAUUAUUGGGGCCCUGGGAUAUGUAACAUUGCCUAAAUACCUAUCUUAAGAAAUUAGGUUUCUCAAAACCAGAAGAGAAAGCUAAUUCGAAUACUACAGAUCCCAUCCAUCACUGGAACUGUAAGAAUUUGUAAAACUUUCCAGAAGUUUAUCAUUUAAGAUAUAUGAGCAUAUCUAGAUAUGUAACUACAUACAUAAAACAUGCAAAUCUGCAUAUACAUACAUACAUACAUACAUACACAAAUACCCUGUUUUUAUAAUGAAGGAAUCUUUGAUCUAGGUUAGAAACCGGUUCUUUCUCUAUUGGCAAGAAAUCUCGAAAUAAAUUAAAGAAAAGACAUACAUACAUACAUACAUACAUACAUACAUACAUACAUAAGGCAUAUGCGUGGCUGAGUGGUAAGAAGCUUACUUAAAAACACACGGUUCCGGUUUCAGUCCCACUGCGUAGUAUCUUGGGCAAGUGUUUUCUACUAUUGCCUCGAGUCUACCAAAGCCUUGUGAGUGAUAUGUAUAUAUGCAUGUAUGUAUGAGUGUGUAUGUGUGUGUAUGUGUAUGUAUGUCUGUAUUUGUCCCUCCAUUAUCGCUUGACAACCGGUGUUGAUGUAUUUACCUUCCCGUAAGUUAACGGUUCGGCAAAAGGAACGAUAAAGUAAGUACUAGGCUUUAAAAAGAAAUAAGUCCUUUGGUCGAUCUGUUUGACUAAAACCCUGCCAUGCGCUACUCCAGCCAAAGGACUGGACCAAAUAUAAGAAUAAAAUAAUGUGUGUGCCUGUGUAUAUGUAUGUGUGUGUGCGUGCGUGUGUGUGUAAACGUGGAGAGAGAGAGCAAGGAAGAAAGGAAGGAAGGAAGGAAGGUAACCGUCGGAAAACAAGCAGAAGAUACAGUAGAUAUCAGGAGAAAAAUGUAAAGAACGGAAGAAAGAAAUAGAGAAAUAGAAAGGAAAAUGCCACCAUCUUUGGCAUAAUUGACAAAUUGCAUGUCUACGUGUUGUACUUUUGUGUGAACAGCAGGCACAGAGUGAGAACAUAUUGGUCCAGAAUAGAUCAGCAGCAGAUUAUCGACAUUAGGAUAAAACUGUGAUAUGCAAACAUGGCGACGAUAUUAUAGCAUCACGCAAAAUCCAAAUUUAUGCUACACUGCAGGCGUUCUUGUAACUAAGUGUUGUAAAAUGACGCUUAUCUGAUCAGGGGUCUGUGGUAAUGUGUGAAUUGAGUUUGUAAUAUUGUGUCAAGUAAUUUUAUGAAUCAAGUAAUUUUAUAUGUAGUUGGUUAUCUGCUCUAAUGCAGAAAUAUCUUUUUUAUUCAGUCCUAUAUUUAAUAUAUAUGUAAGUAUUUAAUACAACACUUCGGAAAUAUCUCCUUCGGGUAAAACCAUCUAUAGAAGAGAAUAUGACCAAAGACUGCGUGUACUCCAUCCCAUGCAGCUGUGGUAGGUUAUACAAAGGCGAAACAUGCCGCCCGCUCAAAAUAAGAUUAGAAUCGGGUAUAGCUGAUCAGGUGUGGAAAAAUGGAGAUGCCUCCCCCUGUAGGAUGAAAUUAAAAUAAUAGACAGAGAACACAACUGAAAAAUACGAAACUUAAAGAAGCAGUAUAUAUGAUAGGACACAACAACUUCCUAAGCAGACUGAGUGCAGAUAUGAGCUGAUAUAUGGGAACCGCUAUAUUAGAUUUAUAAGCCCUAAAAUUCACUCCAUACUUGCCCCACGAGCAUAUGGCGUAGUGGUUAAGAGCGCGGGCUACUAACCCCAAGAUUCCGAGUCCUCUUUAGUUGUCACGUUUCAUUCCAUUUCGGUGGGAUGUUCACUCACUGAGUAGCUUAGCACUACACUACCGAUUUCUUUAUUACCCACAAGGGGGUAAAUACAGAGAGGAAAAACUGGGACAGACAAACGGAUUAAGUCGAUUAAAUCGACCCCAGUGCGUAACUGGUACUUAUUUAAUCGACCCCGAAAGGAUGAAAGGCAAAGUCGACCUCGGCGGAUUUUGAACUCAGAACGUAGCGGCAGACUAUAUACUGCUAAGCAUUUCGCCCGGUAUGCUAACGAUUCUGCCAGCUCGUCGCCUUAAAUUACUACACUACCGUCCUACGGAAUAGUAGUAUGCCUACUUUACUUACACCAGCUUGGUGCAUUUAUUGGAAUGUUCCAUCAGUAAUCAUGAAUUUGAAAGCUGUGAAUAUAUUUUGGCUUGCUAUGGUUGCGUUAAGGUCCUACUGAUAGCACUGUGAACGGUUUUGGUGAUAAUGUUAUGUCUCAUGAAAGGGUAUGCCUUGCAGGCGUUUUUCGAUAUUUACCGAUAAUGUGGAUAUCUACCACAUCCUGACAUAAUCGAUAUUUAUUUUCUAUCAUAACGUGGGAACUUAGGGAUCUUCCUUAUCGCUCUUAUUGAUAAAAUAUUUAGUAGCAAACUCCUGCUCCAUAUCAGAAGCGUAGCCCCUAAGGUGAAAAGUGAUGUGUCUACCAAAAGCUUAGAAGAGGCUUCCGUUGCUGUCAUCAUUUUUGGUAUGUGUAUGAGAACGUAUUUUCGUUAGCGGGUUUAUAUAAAGGAAGGAAGGAAGGAAACCAUCGGAAAAGCAGAAGAUACAGUAGAUAACAGGAGAAAAAUGUAAAAAACGGAAGAAAGAAAUAGAGAAAUAGAUAGGAAAAUGCCACCAUCUUUGGCCUGGAGUAUAUAAUAUUCAUACUCAUUCGUUCUACGUUUAUUGUCCCCACUGUGGUGUUGUGUCUGUCCUUGUAGUGUCCCUUCUGUGUUAGUGGCCUGAGUACCAAAUAACGAACGUGUGUUUAUAUGAACGCGAAUGUAUUUAGGUAUGCGUGAGUGUAUGUAAUGUGUGUGUAGGUGUUGGUAUAUAAAAAUGUAUGUAUGUGUAUAUGUGUAUGUAUGUGUGUACGUAUGCUUAUAGAUAUGUGUAUUUACGUGAGAGUGCAAGAGAGUAGGAAGCGUAUGUACUUAUGUGUGUGUGUAUGAGUGUGCGUGUGUCUUAACUUGAAACUUCGAGAAUUGAACUAAAUUUAUGUAUCACGUGUGUCGCAGGAAAGCUGCAAAAGUGUUGGAGCGAGGUUUAAGUAGGUGAAGAAACAAUGGAAGUUGAAUAGCAGUAGUGUGGGAAGGGUACAAACAGUAGCACUUGGCAGUCAUUUGACCAGCUAGCUUUAGGCAUGUGUGUAUACGCGUGUUUGAGAUUGCACAGCAACACAUGUAGACACGCAUACGUACAUUAUACUCA
rnacentral:lncRNA from 1 species